rnacentral:rRNA from 1 species
UACGAGGGGGGCAAGCGUUGUUCGGAAUUAUUGGGCGUAAAGGGUGCGUAGGCGGUCUGAUAAGUCAUCUGUGAAAUCUAUGGGCUCAACCCAUAGUCUGCAGGCGAAACUGUCGGGCUUGGGUAUGGGAGAGGUGAGUGGAAUUUCCGGUGUAGCGGUGAAAUGCGUAGAUAUCGGAAGGAACACCUGUGGCGAAAGCGGCUCACUGGACCAUUACUGACGCUGAUGCACGAAAGCUAGGGGAGCAAACAGG